UAUUACUAGUAUUAGCGGAAUUAAGGAGAGCUUUCCUCCCCAAAUUGUACGUCAUUGGCAAACUGAGUAUGAAGUCUUUUAAAGGACAUAAUUGCCUUUUUUAAAACAAAAGAAAAAUCCCGAAGUAUCUCAUUGGAACAGAUAAGCUGCUUAUUUUGAACCGAUGCAUGUUUUUUGGUGUCUGUUCAGGCCGGGGUGCUGCUGUGUGAUCUGUUACCCGCCCGCUGCCCCGGCCGCCCGCAGGGGGACGCGCUUCACUUCCCGCAAUCAGCCUUUUAAAGAGGGGGGAAGGGAUAGAACAUCGGCGGAGCUGGAACCCGGGGCCGGUUUUUGCCGUGGAGGAAGGAGGAGCCUCCCCGGCCGCAGCGGCCCCGCUUCCCGCCGCAGAGGAAGCGCCGCGGCCGCCUCUCCCCGCUGCCCGGCGGACGUCCGGCCGCGGCCAUGGCGCUGGCGGAGGCGGGAGCCCGCGGGCGGCACCUGCUCUGGCCCCGCGUCGUCCUCUUCGGAGACUCCAUCACUGAGGCAGCGCCGGGGCUGUCGGGGACAGCGGGGACAGCGAGCUGGGAGGGAGCCUUUGAGACGGGGAGGUGCCAGGGCCGGGCCUGGCCUGCUGGGGCCAGUUGUGCGGCGGAGGCCUGACCGCGUUCCUUGCCCGCAGCACUCCUUCCAGGGAAGCGGAUGGGGGGCGUUCGUGUCGGAGAGGCUGGUCAGAAAGUGUGAUGUUGUGAACCGUGGAUUCUCCGGGUACAACACCAGAUGGGCUAAACUGAUCCUUCCAAGGCUGAUCACUAAAAGCACUGGUGCUGAGAGCACUGUUGCGGUUAUUAUCUUCUUUGGAGCCAAUGACAGUGCUUUGAAAGAUCUGAACCCCAAGCAACACGUUCCUCUGGAGGAAUACGCUGAGAACUUAAAGAGCAUGAUACGGUAUCUGAAGUCAGUAGACGUUACUGAAGACAGGGUUAUUUUGAUAACGCCGCCACCUCUUCAUGAACCAACUUGGGAAAAGGAAUGUCUUGCCAAAGGUGACAAAUUAAAUCGCCACAAUGCCACCACCGGGGAAUACGCCCAGGCCUGUGUUCAGGCAGCUAUGGACUGUGGAACGGAUGUAAUUGACCUUUGGACAUUGAUGCAAAAAAAUGAGGAUUUCUCUUCCUACUUGUCUGAUGGUCUUCAUUUAUCAACACAAGGCAACAGCUUUCUAGCAGCACAACUUUGGUCACGCCUGGAAAAAAAACUGUCAGCUUUUCCGACUCUGCUCCCUUACUGGCGCGACGUGGACCACACGGACCCCGCGGCCAGCCUGCUGUGAGACGCCCAGCAGCACACUGAGGAGGCCCUGCCCAUGCUCUUCUGUGUCCCCUCUCCCUGGCCUGUGGGACAAUAAAGGCUGUAGUAAGCUACAUUGGCACAAACCUGAUGGGGCCAGUACUGGUGUGGUUUUCAUGCACUGGGGGAGACAGAGACUGAUGAGAUCAUGAAGACGUCCAGUGGUGUGAGUACCAUGAGGCCACCUUUGCUUUGUUAAAUAACAGUUGGCCAAGACCUGUCAUCUACUAUAGAAGAGUGUUAUAAACUGGAACACAUUUUUCAUAUGCCUGGAGCUAGACCAGAAGCUAGUUUGGUUUACAAAUAUUUAUGAAUAUCAAAUUGGACUGGCCUUUCUGUAAUAAAUGCUUACAGUAAAGACUGCCUGAAGAGCAGCAGGGGCUCCCUGGGGGUCUUCGUGCACAAGAUGUUAUGAACAAAUUGUGCAAGUGCCGGUUCUGCAGUUUCUGGAAUAGAGCUCAUAUUGGGGGAUGCGCUCCCUGGUUCCUAAGGCUGGCCUCAAACAUGUCUCCUGCUCCCAAGUGCCUGCCACUGCCUGGUUUUCAUCUGGGAAGUAACAGCCUCAGUGUCAAGAACAUGUACUUAGGCAUUUGCUACCUGAGAAGGCAUUUGAGCACACGCCCUUACCUUAAAUAUGAAUUUCACCCUCAGAACCGACCGUAAUCCCCAGGACACCUGGUGACCCAGGACACAGGGCAGCCCCACAGGUGCAGGUCUGCACUGUGGGUGCUCCAGGUCUGCCCCCCAGCAGCCGAGGGGAGCAGCGAGAGAGAACCAGCUGGACUUCGAACUUGGGGUUUAGCAACUGAAGAAUUCAGAUCUUUCAGAAAAUGACUUCACAGAAACAGCUCUUGUUUAACUAUUUUUUUUUAAUAUAAAAAGUUCUUAUUGUAUUGGGAAUUAAAUUAACUCUUCACAAACA